UACGAAGGGUGCAAACGUUGCUCGGAAUUAUUGGGCGUAAAGCGCACGUAGGCGGCUUUGCAAGUCGGAUGUGAAAUCCCUCGGCUUAACCAAGGAAGUGCAUCCGAAACUGCAGAGCUUGAGUACUUAAGAGGAUCGCGGAAUUCCCGGUGUAGAGGUGAAAUUCGUGAGAUAGUCGGGAGGAACACCAGUGGCGGAAGGCGGCGAUCUGGGAA
rnacentral:rRNA from 1 species